rnacentral:rRNA from 1 species
CUGGGUGGAUGAGUGGCGAACGGGUGAGUAACACGUGAGUAACCUGCCCCCUUCUUUGGGAUAACGCCCGGAAACGGGUGCUAAUACUGGAUAUUCACUGGCCUUCGCAUGGGGGUUGGUGGAAAGGUUUUUUCUGGUGGGGGAUGGGCUCGCGGCCUAUCAGCUUGUUGGUGGGGUGAUGGCCUACCAAGGCUUUGACGGGUAGCCGGCCUGAGAGGGUGACCGGUCACAUUGGGACUGAGAUACGGCCCAGACUCCUACGGGAGGCAGCAGUGGGGAAUAUUGCACAAUGGGCGAAAGCCUGAUGCAGCGACGCCGCGUGAGGGAUGACGGCCUUCGGGUUGUAAACCUCUUUCACUCAUGGUCAAGCCGCAGCUUUGGGUUGUGGUGAGGGUAGUGGGUAAAGAAGCGCCGGCUAACUACGUGCCAGCAGCCGCGGUAAUACGUAGGGCGCGAGCGUUGUCCGGAAUUAUUGGGCGUAAAGGGCUUGUAGGCGGUUGGUCGCGUCUGCCGUGAAAUCCUCUGGCUUAACUGGGGGCGUGCGGUGGGUACGGGCUGACUUGAGUGCGGUAGGGGAGACUGGAACUCCUGGUGUAGCGGUGGAAUGCGCAGAUAUCAGGAAGAACACCGGUGGCGAAGGCGGGUCUCUGGGCCGUUACUGACGCUGAGGAGCGAAAGCGUGGGGAGCGAACAGGAUUAGAUACCCUGGUAGUCCACGCUGUAAACGUUGGGCACUAGGUGUGGGGGCCACCCGU